ACCCUUUUUAAACUUACAAUUUGUGUUACCUCUUAAUGAAUCUGACAAGAAUUCACUUUGAGGACAUGCUUAAAAAUAUUUGUAUUCAUAGAAUUUGAUUAAUAAAUCAUUUUAAUUUAAAAUGAUUUUAUUAGGGUUAACUAGCUCAAUAUGACAAAAACUCAAUUAGGGGAUAUGCUCAAAUUAUUCAUAAAUAACUUUUUAUUUCAUUAAAAAUGAAAAAGUCUAUUUAGAUUUAGAUUAGCUAGACAGAUGUGUGUGUGUGUGUGUGUGUGUGUGUGUGUGUGUGUGUGUGUGUAACACUGUACUGUCCAUUGAUCUGCAAUGAGAUUCGGGUUCCUGUGUCCCAGGUGUUGGAGAUAAGUUUACCCAGAAGGAUGAUGUAAUACUAUCCAGAGCGCACAAUCUCAACCUCCUGUCUCUUUCAACACGGGCUUCUUCAUCCUCACCUGCUGAAGAAAAAGACAACAGAAAAAGGAGGUGGACACAUACAGCCAGACACACAUCCCUGACUCACACACUCCAGGUCCAGAUUCUGGCAGGUCUUGGCACACUCUAUCCCAGCAUCCCUCACACUCUGACACUCAAACCGCUGCAGCGGAGGAGGACAAGAGAUAGAGCGCCGCCCUACAGGUGGAACACACUCAAAGAAUUAAUUAUAUGUACUUGUCUGAGCCACUUGACAAUAUUCUGUCCACUUGUGUGUCUUUGAUGUGUUCAAGUGCAAUUGUGCUCCAUUAGAAGUGCACAGAGAUAUAAGUGUGAGGAGGAAUACCUCUUGAAGAAGAAUGUCCAUCAAAGAAGAGGUCAGAGUAGAUCCAGUGGCUUCAUUAGAAGUGCAUUGCAUGGAUCCACUCUCG
ensembl:lncRNA